rnacentral:rRNA from 1 species
GAUGAACGCUAGCGGCAGGCCUAAUACAUGCAAGUCGAACGGUAACAUGAGUAGCAAUACUUGAUGACGAGUGGCGCACGGGUGCGUAACGCGUAUGCAAUCUACCUUUAACUGGUGAAUAGCCCGAAGAAAUUCGGAUUAACACACCAUAGUAUAUUUGAAUGGCAUCAUUUAAAUAUUAAAACUCCGGUGGUUAAAGAUGAGCAUGCGUGACAUAGCUAGUUGGUGAGGUAAUGGCUCACCAAGGCUACGAUGUCUAGGGGAUCU